ensembl:lncRNA
UUCUGUUGUUGUUUUUGUUCCUACGCACAUGCCAUUCAUAUGAGGUGGUGUUUGUGCUUCGCUCGCGGUGGCGGUGGACGUCACUGUCUGGAACUGCGCAGUUUUCCAUCCUGAAAUGGAUUUUGUGGAGCUUGGUGAACCCACUUGGCAAAUACUCUGAUGCAUUAGUGAUGGGGAGUUCAGAAAACGCAGUGAAAUAAUCGCUUUUUAGAGCAGGGCUGGAGCAACAAGCAGCACACAAAGCCUGCAGCCAUGUGAUCACAGAUGCAGAAUAGACCAAAGACCAAAACAGCAGUGCACUGGCAACCUUGUACUCUGAGUGAGGCCUCAUGGUCAGAGGGAUAUGUUUAGGGCCCUCCACAGUGAACCUGAAGACAAGGAUAUCAGAAGACAAAUAGACCUCCAGCCUGUGAAGGUCUGACGAUGCUAGUGAAAUUACACAAGGCACAAAUGAGGAGAAUGGAGUAGAAGCCCAAAGAUGUGCCUCCUAGCAGGAUUUAUCUGGGGAGCUCCUUCCCUGUCCGCAGGUUCCUUAGGAUGUGUCUCAAUGGGCAGGUGAGGGCAGACCCAAAUUAAUUGCACCCACACCACGUCACUCAGGUGCAAGGCACUUCUAGCCCAGAAGCUGUGUGACUCUGCAGGCAGCACUGUGCCAACAUGGGGCAAAACCUGCAGUUUGGCUCAAUACCCACCUGGCGUUGGAUGCAAACAAACCUGUGAGUCCUACACCAAGUCUACAUCUUGGCCUGCCUUCUUCAGUUCACUCCGUUGGUACAGCUGGGCUCUCAGUGAACCAGAAAGUGUGAGGUUUGCCAGAACUGAAGAGCGUGUGAAUGGGUUUGUGGAGGUGAGGGAAAAACGUGUAUUUUUUUUUUUAAACCUGAAAAACUAGCUUACCUGUGCAUCAUAAUAGGGAUUUUGGAAUUGAGACUAUUGUAAUGGUUGUGGUCUAGAGUCAUUAGAGCAGUGCUGUGCUACUGGGACACUUAUAGGCUACCUCCACACUUACCAUUGCUCAGAAGACAGACAUUCUCUUCUCCUUUAGCUAAGCCUGCCUGAACUGGAGGGCUUUUGCAUGACUGUGAAGGAAAGAGCUUAAUUCUUCUUUAUGACCUGCUUCAAACAAAGCUACAGCAACCAAAUGGACCGUGCUGUGUGAAACCCAACAUCAUGCUCGUGUGAGUCAAAUAUCCCCCUCUGGUGCUGGAGAGUUCAGCUAAAGAGCAAACAACGGUAAACACCAGCAGCUGAAAGUGGGUGUUCUUUUGCUUUCUUCAUGGCAACAGCCCAGCAGACUGACGGAGAUCAAAAAUUACCUUAUCACCUGGAGGUCUGCAGAGAAGCCAAGAGAUGUUGAAACCUCCACCACCUCCAACAUCAAAGGCUGCAGCAGGUAUCUUUCCAGGUGCUUUUUCACAGCCAGCCUCAGUGAAAGCUCCCAUUCAAAAGGCAGUAACUCGGGAACAUUAGGUGUAGCUUCUGGUGGCUGAACCGUUAAAGUUACCCUUCAAUGUCACCAGAAUAGCACACUAAAGGGGAAAUUCAAGGAGGAAAACAAAAAGAGUCCUACCUAGGGGAUUGGCUGCUUUACAGGGGCUGGUAAUGAGAUCAUACUGCCAUGAUUCAAGGUCACAAAUUUGACUUUAGAUAAGGUGUAGCAACAGCCUCAAUCUGUAAUGGUGGCUGUUCAGCAGCCUGUGUGACAUUAAUGGGUAGUCUCUUGUAGCCUUUUAAUUUAACAAGGUGAUUGCUAUAAGUUUUGUAAAAAAAUACCUCCAAACACAACUACUAAAAUGAGCUGGCGUGUGAUAGUGAACAACAAAGUUCACUGAAGCCUUUUGUACUGAUGCAUUGAAUGAUGAUGUAUUCACACCACUUUGCUGUUCUUUGUUGGAGCUUGAGGGCAGAGAUGUUAACAAAGGAUGUUCUGUAUAUUUGCAACAUAACAAAAUAAAAGAUUUUUUUUCCAGUAGGGCAUAACUACUAUCACAUAUGACUCUAACUUUAAAUGUGCCAUAAGGUAGCAGCACUGUCCAGAAGCUAGGCCUCUUCUACCUUUCAGCUUGCUGAGAACAACUUGUCUGAAAAGAUGCAGGCUGCUUUCUGCUCUGUACCUUUGUGCAGGGAGAAUUCAGAGUUCCUGGUGCAGUCCCAUCGUGCUGUGCUCGCCUCCUUUAGAGUUCACUGUAUUAAAGAUGAAGGUAUUGGUAACAUUCAAUUUCAGCUUUCAUAUAUAUAUAUUUUACCUAUUGUAAAAUACUUUCAGUACUGCUGUACUGCAGCAGCCUAUUCAUUUAUGUGCUUUAGGCACCUUUGGGUAACAGAAAUUACACCUAUCAGCAACAAUGGAAUGACAGACCAAAAACAAACCUAUCAAAUCUCUCAUUUCUGUAAAAGCAGGGCGAAAAAAGACUGAAAAUGGUGCCCUCUGCUUUCUGGUGAUCUUAUGCAUUCAUCAACAAGGUGCCCCAAAUCCAUUCUUAACUACGGCUAUAAUCUCGUGUAACAAAGGUACCUCCUGGGUACUGGUGAGAGACUUGUAGGAUGUGUUUAUUAUGAUUAAAUCUCUGAUAAGUUAAUUUUGGUUCUGGCAAAUAUUCCUAUGAUUUGCUCUGGGCAAACAAAAAAGCCACUAUACUUUGUUGCUGUACGUGCAGUCCUGAUGUCUCAUUCUGUGUAUAAAACAGAGAUUUUUGAAUACUGGAGAAUCUGCAGCCCAAAAAAGCCUGCUGGGGAGCAGAAGACACACUGGUAGGUGACAAAAACAGAGUUCACUGACUGCAGUUUGCAAAAUGCCAUAGGUUAUUUCUGUUUAUUGCCUGGGAUUGUACAAGAAGAUCAGAAUUUAAGCUUGGACGUUCUUGGAUAUUUUCCCCGUGAGAUUUGCGUCUGCACAGAGAGAAUGUUAUAAUAUGCUUUCUUCUCCUUGGAGAAGGGAUGAUAUCCCCUUGGCAACAUGAGUGAUCACUUAAAUGGAACAAUAACAUUAAGCAAGUGUUUGCAGAUGCCCUUCAGGGUGCUUUAGCAUCUGGAAACAAGAGAAGGAGUGGUAAGCAUUAUAUGGGUAAGCGAUUAGGAAGACAGAAAUGUGCUUGGGAGAGAGAGGCAUAUUUCAGAAAUGGAAUUAUUCCAUAAAAAGUGUCAAAAACGUACCUUUAAGUGAGCGGUUUGGGAGGAUGUUCUGUAGACUACUUAUGACGUGACUACUGAAUAUGAGGGAUUUGCCCCUUUCUCUGUGGUGUGAGACAUUGUCUGAGAAAAGACUGAUCCGGCUCAGGGUCUGCCCAGACAGGGAAUACCUCAGUCAGUGACUGUCUCAGUGAAUAACAUUUCUGUGCUCAGUGCCUUUUCCCAGUCUUGGGAGGAAAUGAAUAACAAGUACAGCUACCUUUUUGGCAUCUCUACGUGCAACAAUUUAGGGUAGUGUUUUCAGCUGAGGUUAAGGGGAAAGCUCCAGCAGGAACAAGGAGACUUGUACAGCAACUCUUGGACCCAGUUGCCAUUCAGCUCAGAAAUAGUUCUCUGCAAGGCUUCUGCUAACUUUAACAAUUUGUCCCUUGCACUGGUGGAAGGCUGUCGGGAUCUGUGGGCCCCUGGAUCCAUGGUGGUUAGGUGGAAUUGCACUUCACACAGUGCCAUCCCUUGCAGAAUUAUGGGCUUUAACUCAACUCUGUGGAUUCAUUCCUUGCUACCUCCCCACUGGCCUUUCUGGCUGCCACAAAACUCAGAUUUUCACCUAUGCAAAGUUCAAAGGGGCUGCUCACUGUGAGUUCCACUUUCCAAGGUAGCACUUUCCCUCAGACAAAAGAAUGGAAGGUUGGUGCCUCCAGCAAGGAGCAGAGAAGGGCUGGAGCACAGACCGUACUGCAGUUGAAGAAGGCAAUUACUGUUAUGAGGCCAGAACAAGCAGCUAAAAUAUGGAAGUCAGGCAACUUGGUCAAAUUGGAGUUUGACAUAAAGAACGUGAUAGUGCCAAUUCGAUGUUCUGUUUUUUUUCUUUGGUGGAUCAUUUUUUCCCUGCUUUUCACGUUUUUAUUACUUUUUUUUUUUUUAAACAUGAACUGUUUAGAAGGUCAAAACUUUAAGAGGCAAAACAGGUAGAGAAAUUACAAAUAAUGUUGGUGCUCUAAUGCCUAUUCCUAAGAACCUGUGAUGUAAAAAGUCUCAGAAGUCGCAGUUCAAGUGUUCUUUGCAUGUCCUCUAUUGCAUGUCAAGCAUGCAGUAUGUCUAUUGCAUAGACCUCUAUGUCUAGCUGGUCCUCUAUUGCUUUUGUUUUUCAGGAUUCAUGUUUGCAUGUACUCAAAUUUACAUGCUGUUUUAUGCAUCCAGAAGAGCUAACAUCCUCCCUUUUCUUUCACGUCGAAUGGAUGCUAUGGUUUUAUGUGGGGAUGAGCAACACUUAUGACAGAUAAGCUGACAAAACACAGCAAAAUCCCGGGUGUCUGCAACAUCAACAGUUAGGCUGGUGUUUCCAUGUCCCUGCUGAGGAUGGAAAAUGUUUUGCCAUCACUCUUCCUACAUACACAGUCCCAAAGUGUUCAGAAGGGCUAAAUUUCUAGUGAAAUGAUCUUCAAGUGUUGUGUUGUCAUGAUAGAGAGAAGAUGGACUCAGUUCUCAGAGACCACAGUACAAUAUGGAGCUUGUAGCUGAGCUUCAGUAGGAUGUUUUUAACAGUCUGAUAUCUGGAAAGUCUUUUUUCCUAAGUGGUCAGUUACUGCAAGCAAAAUGACCUUCUCCUCCUUUUGUCAUGAUUAAUUCCUGCAAACCACACUGUAUUUUUCUCUAUGCUUGUCUGCUAACUAUGUAGAAAGUGCUAAGCAAUCGUGCAUAAUUCAUUACUCUUAAUUAAAAUGUAAAUUUAUUGUCAGCCUUUUGGGGUAAUUAAAGCACCAUUGUGAGAAUAGGUUUGUGUUCUGUAUCUUUUGCAAAAAUAAACAAAUAAUGUUUUAUGUUCUGCUUGAAGAGGUGCAGUUGAUCACCAAGUGGGACGCAACUGAACUUCCAGAGAAGGUCUGUCAGUUAGCAUAUAUCUAAUAUUCAACAGGGUGUGAAUCUACUUUGCUAUAAAGUGAGCUGUCUUAUUUGCUGCGGAG